CUGGGGUCAGCUUUCGGCUUAUGUAUAUCACCGGGUGUUCCUCGCCGUUGUGGCCCUGGGAUAGAAUGGCUCCCAACCCGGUUCCGACGUGAGGGCUGUCUAUAUCCACUGGAAGCCGCCUCUGUCUCAGGGGUCCAAGGGAUCUUCUCCGGCUGCCCCUUCCUGGUCAGGUCUGUCAGGGGAGAAGCUAAGGAGAAGUUAGGGAUAAAGCAGUGGUAGUAACCCGCCAACCCCAAAAAGGCCCGUAUCUGAGUCUUGGAGGCAGGCCGCGGCGCGGAGAGGAUAGCUGCCACCUUCUUCUCUUGAGGUCUUAUCAGGGCGCGACCCACCUGGCAGCCGCGUGUGCUUGGUGCGGCCGCAGGAGGACAUCCAUCAGUUGCUGGAAGGUGGCCAGGGCCCCGUGGGGUUGAGAAGGCCGUUUUCGGCUUGGCCUGUUCUGUUAAGGGUACCUGCCAGUAGCCCUUGGUGAGGUCAAGGGUCGAGAUAAACUGGGCCCUUCCGAGGCGAUCCAGCAGCUCGUCAACCCGGGGCAUCGGGUAGCCGUCGAACUCAGAGACUUUAUUUAGGCGGUGGAAGUUGUUGCAGAAGUGGAAGGUGCCGUCAGGCUUUGGAACCAUGAUGAUGGGGCUGGACCAUGGGCUGCGUGAUGGUUUGAUGACCCCUAACCUCAACAUCUCCUGUACCUCUUCCUCGAUGGCGUGUCCCGACCCAGCACUUCAGGAGAUUGAUAUGAUAGAGCUGGUCCUCUUUUCUUCUACCUGGCUGCCGCACACGGUAGGUGACGGGGCCGACCUUCUCUGUGAUGGUGUACGGUCCCUGCCAGGUGGCCUAGAAUUUGCAGGCAGCCGUGGGGACCAGGACCAGUAUGUGGUCUCCUCGCUGGAACUCCUGUGGUUGGGCCGCCCGGAUGAUGGGCAUGAUUCGGUCGAUCCGCUCCCGCAUCUGGAUGACCAGAGACAGGGUACAUUUUCAGGUAAUUUUCAUUUUUUAGUGAACUUUUUCUUCAGUGACAGACAAUGUAUCCAUUUAAGAGAAAAGCCCUGAUUAGAGGACGUAAACUCUUGAUAUCUCGCAACCCCAAGCUGAAAAUCUCAUUGAGGCUUAUUACCGAUGUAAGAUAACAGAAAUGUCAAAUGGAAAAUGGAAAUGAAAACAAAAAUAAAAUAAAAAUAAAAUAAUAAUAAUUAGAGAAAAGCAGGAAUUAUGAUCACCAUCAAAAUACAAUGAGUGCAGCCUAUUAUGAAAUCCAAGAUGUUUUUCUUAGCCAAUCCAAAACACUAAUGGUAUCUGUCGAAAACUGGGACACAAAGUGGCAGUCUGCUUCAUUCUCCACAACCCAGUACUUAUAUUUGGCCUACAAGAUUGCAGAAUCACAUUUUGCAAAUUGUGUUUAGCACAAAUUUUGUGGGCACAUUUGUUCCAUAACAUGAUUUGCAUAAAUCCUGUAGUGAAUCAUUCACUCAAACAACACAAACACUAAAUGCAAACAAUGCACACAGGGGAUGGAAUUCAUUCUUAGUGAAUUAAUAUGAGAUUCAAUGAGAUCAGCAAGGCCUGGUUUGCAAUGGUGUACAUAUUUUUUAAUAGCUAAUGUUGAUAUGAUCCAACUUUGUUAUUAGAAUUUAGAUUUUUUUUUUUUAUAUAUAUAUGGGGUUUUCAACCACAAAUACAGCCUGUUCAGUCUGUUUUAUUUGUGUUAAUUAGAAGAUGAUUAAGGUUUAUUGUGUUUUAUUUAGUAGAGGGUACUGUUUGUCACUUUAAUUGAGUUUUAUGUUUAAGCAAUCACAAAAAUCAGUUAGCUUUUUGGUUUUCAUUUUUUGAAUGUGUGCAAAUAUUGCUGUUCCUAACAUUACAGCAUGUACUGUAAAAACAUCAAAUUCGAACACCUUCCACAUGGCAGCUUUCAUAUUUUUUCUUCUUAAAAAAUAAAAAAAAAUAAAAAAAUGAAUGAAUGAAUGAGUGAAUGAACUAAUUAAUUAAUUUAUUUAUUUAUUCACACAUUGUAUUUCGAUUCAGGUAAACAGUUAAAAAUAAGUUAGCUACAGAGACUGUGUUGAUUGAAAGAAGAUACUGCAUUAUUACUAUUAUUAUUAUUAUUAUUAUUUUUAUUAUUUUAGUGUAUUUCAGAAGCAGAUGUACAUGGCAACAUUCCUCCACACAGACAUGCAAUUAUUAAAACAGGUCACAUGCCCUUAAGCAUGUAUGCAUGCUGUUUAUAUAAAUGGACGUCAUGUAUAGGCUACAGCUGCUUCAUUAGCAGAUUAUCUCUACUUACCUGUGAGAUUUGCAGGCAACCUUCUUGGCAUCAGUAAAGUAGUUUGAAACAGGUGCUGCUUGCCAUUGAACCCCACACGUGAACUCUCACGUCUCUCCAAACAAGAAGAUAAACAAGGUAAAAAGUUUUCUCUUCAUUGCAUAGCUUGAUGUUAGCUUGUUGCUAAACCAGCAUACUCUAAAUACAAAUGAUGAGUAAAAGUAUGCACUUUUUAUUGAUAAUUUCCAGUUUAAAAUGGAUAAAAAAGCUUAUUUAUAAUCAAAAUUUCUUAGUUUGCAGCAUUAUAUUUUAAAAUAAUUUUAUAAUACGAUGCAAGCUUCAUAUUCUGUUUUAAGUGCAUGCUUUAAAAAAAAAAAAACUCUGUUUAUAGAUCAUUUUCUUUGUAUUGGGUUUUCCAUGACGAGCACCUGGAUACAUCGUGCUUCAGUGCUGACAGAAAGGUUUCUUUGUACAGUGCUCUGCUUUCAGCAAGUACGCACAGCCUGCAUAAUCAUGAACAAUAUGCAAAAUGUGAUUACAUCUCAGCAUGCUUAACAAUUUCAACUCAACAGCACUUGCCCAAAUGAAAGACUGACAGAAUGGAAAUUUUGUGCCUUGUUUCUUCUCUUGGCUCAGAGAAAUGUGCGUUCAUAAAUAAAAAUGUGCUGCAUUAGUAUGGUAAAAUGUGAAUACUCAGGGUUCAUUUUUUUUAAAAUAACAAGCUGCAGUUACAUGUUAAACACUCUAUUGUAAUGUGCAACCAAGCUGUACAUUGCCAAGAGGUUUUUUUGCUAAAAUAUUUUCAAGUUCUGAAAUCUUUUCUCAGAUGCAUUCAGUGUUAUGAAUGGACAAUUUUUGUUUUGUAAAUAGAUUCAAUUACAUUGGCUGUAAUAAUCAAGUACGAAAUUAGUUCCCACCCAGUGUCCGUUCAAUGCAUAAAACCCUACUACUGGUACCUGGAAAUAAACACAAAUGAAACACCUCAUAU
ensembl:lncRNA